GAUGAACGCUGGCGGCGUGCCUAAUACAUGCAAGUCGAGCGAACGGACGAGAAGCUUGCUUCUCUGAUGUUAGCGGCGGACGGGUGAGUAACACGUGGAUAACCUACCUAUAAGACUGGGAUAACUUCGGGAAACCGGAGCUAAUACCGGAUAAUAUUUUGAACCGCAUGGUUCAAAAGUGAAAGACGGUCUUGCUGUCACUUAUAGAUGGAUCCGCGCUGCAUUAGCUAGUUGGUAAGGUAACGGCUUACCAAGGCAACGAUGCAUAGCCGACCUGAGAGGGUGAUCGGCCACACUGGAACUGAGACACGGUCCAGACUCCUACGGGAGGCAGCAGUAGGGAAUCUUCCGCAAUGGGCGAAAGCCUGACGGAGCAACGCCGCGUGAGUGAUGAAGGUCUUCGGAUCGUAAAACUCUGUUAUUAGGGAAGAACAUAUGUGUAAGUAACUGUGCACAUCUUGACGGUACCUAAUCAGAAAGCCACGGCUAACUACGUGCCAGCAGCCGCGGUAAUACGUAGGUGGCAAGCGUUAUCCGGAAUUAUUGGGCGUAAAGCGCGCGUAGGCGGUUUUUUAGGUCUGAUGUGAAAGCCCACGGCUCAACCGUGGAGGGUCAUUGGAAACUGGAAAACUUGAGUGCAGAAGAGGAAAGUGGAAUUCCAUGUGUAGCGGUGAAAUGCGCAGAGAGUAUGGAGGAACACCAGUGGCGAAGGCGACUUGUCUGGUCUGUAACUGACGCUGAUGUGCGAAAGCGUGGGGAUCAAACAGGAUUAGAUACCCUGGUAGUCCACGCCGUAAACGAUGAGUGCUAAGUGUUAGGGGGUUUCCGCCCCUUAGAGCUGCAGCUAACGCAUUAAGCACUCCGCCUGGGGAGUACGACCGCAAGGUUGAAACUCAAAGGAAUUGACGGGGACCCGCACAAGCGGUGGAGCAUGUGGUUUAAUUCGAAGCAACGCGAAGAACCUUACCAAAUCUUGACAUCCUUUGACAACUCUAGAGAUAGAGCCUUCCCCUUCGGGGGACAAAGUGACAGGUGGUGCAUGGUUGUCGUCAGCUCGUGUCGUGAGAUGUUGGGUUAAGUCCCGCAACGAGCGCAACCCUUAAGCUUAGUUGCCAUCAUUAAGUUGGGCACUCUAAGUUGACUGCCGGUGACAAACCGGAGGAAGGUGGGGAUGACGUCAAAUCAUCAUGCCCCUUAUGAUUUGGGCUACACACGUGCUACAAUGGACAAUACAAAGGGCAGCGAAACCGCGAGGUCAAGCAAAUCCCAUAAAGUUGUUCUCAGUUCGGAUUGUAGUCUGCAACUCGACUACAUGAAGCUGGAAUCGCUAGUAAUCGUAGAUCAGCAUGCUACGGUGAAUACGUUCCCGGGUCU
rnacentral:rRNA from 1 species